rnacentral:rRNA from 1 species
UCAGCAUGGCCUUUAUAUCCUGGGCUACACGACACGCUACAAUGGUCUGUACAAUAGGGUUGCCAAGCGCGAGGCGGAGGCCAAUCCAAAAAAGCAGGCCUCAGUUCAGAUUGUAGUCUGCAACCCGACUGCAUGAAGAUGGAGUUGCUAGUAACCGCAGGUCAGCUAUACUGCGGUGAACACGUUCCCGGGUCUU